rnacentral:rRNA from 1 species
UACGUAGGGUGCAAGCGUUAUCCGGAAUAUUGGGCGUAAAGAGCUCGUAGGCGGUUUGUCGCGUCUGCCGUGAAAGUCCGGGGCUCAACUCCGGAUCUGCGGUGGGUACGGGCAGACUAGAGUGAUGUAGGGGAGACUGGAAUUCCUGGUGUAGCGGUGAAAUGCGCAGAUAUCAGGAGGAACACCGAUGGCGAAGGCAGGUCUCUGGGCAUUAACUGACGCUGAGGAGCGGAAAGCAUGGGGGAGCGAACAGG